AGUGGUCCUCCCCUUCCCCUGUAGGUUAGUUGUGGCCUCGCUCCUGUAGGUUAGUUGUGACCUCUCCCUCUGCCCCCUGUAGGUUAGUAGUGGUCUCUCCCUCUGCCUCUGUAGGUUAGUUGUGGUCUCUCCCUCUGCCCAUGUAGUUAGUUGUUGUUCUCCUUUCUGCCCCCUGUGGUUUAGUAGUGGUCUCUCCCUCUGCCCCUGUAGGUUAGUUGUGGCCUCUCCCUCUGCCCCCUGUAGGUUAGUUGUGGCCUCUCCCUCUGCCCCCUGUAGGUUAGUAGUGGUCUCUCCCUCUGCCCCUUGUAGGUUAGUUGUGGCCUCUCCUCUGACCCUGUAGGUUGUUGUGGCCUCUCCCUCUGCCCCUGUAGGUUAGUUGUGGUCUCUCCCUCUGCACCUGUAGGUUAGUUGUGGUCUCUCCCUCUGCCCCUUGUAGGUUAGUUGUGGCCUCUCCCUCUGCCCCUGUAGGUUAGUUGUGGUCUCUCCCUCUGCCCCCUUGUAGGUUAGUUGUGGCCUCUCCCUCUGCCCCUUGUGGU
rnacentral:lncRNA from 1 species